CACAGAGGUGGCAAGCGUUGUUCGGAAUUACUGGGCGUAAAGGGCGCGUAGGCGGCCUACUAAGUCAGACGUGAAAUCCCCCGGCUUAACCUGGGAACUGCGUCUGAUACUGGAAGGCUUGAGUAUGGGAGAGGGAUGUAGAAUUCCAGGUGUAGCGGUGAAAUGCGUAGAUAUCUGGAGGAAUACCGGUGGCGAAGGCGGCAUCCUGGACCAUUACUGACGCUGAGGCGCGAAAGCUAGGGGAGCAAACGGG
rnacentral:rRNA from 1 species